rnacentral:misc_RNA from 1 species
AUGGAAGCAAGGGAUUGGGACAGGGUGAGAGAGAGUCGGAGUCUGAGUGGAUAAGAUUAGAUAUGAUGAUCAAACAGUGAUAUAGCAAAGCAUGCAUGCCAUUGCCAGGGAUCCUCAUAUCAUAUAUAUAAAUUAACUGACAAAAGCUGUCAAAUUCUGGGGAACAACCAUCAUCAGCAACUCUCACUUGCGCUGCUGUUCCUGCCUGUGCCACCACCCUUGUCUGAUGCUGCUCAUGAGCUUGAACAAGAGCGUGAUAGAUUUGCACAUUAAACAAGAGCGGAGCCAACUGCAACUGCCCACCUAGU